GACCGCUCUGGUGGCCUAUGGGUUAGAGCGUCUGCCUCGGAUGCGGGAUGUUGCCGGUUCGAACCCCGGCCAAGUCA